UACGGAGGGGGCUAGCGUUGUUCGGAAUUACUGGGCGUAAAGCGCACGUAGGCGGCUUUGCAAGUUAGAGGUGAAAGCCCGGGGCUCAACUCCGGAAUUGCCUUUAAAACUGCAUCGCUAGAGUUGUGGAGAGGUAAGUGGAAUUCCGAGUGUAGAGGUGAAAUUCGUAGAUAUUCGGAAGAACACCAGUGGCGAAGGCGACUUACUGGACACAUACUGACGCUGAGGUGCGAAAGCGUGGGGAGCAAACAGG
rnacentral:rRNA from 1 species